AUGCACCGCGGCCCCCAUUCAUCAGGCAAGCUGACCAAUGCAAGUUCCGGGGUCCGAUUAUCCAGGGAAACACGGCCCCAGGAAGAGAAUAAAUCACCCGGGAAGCUCUGGGCCAACUGCAAACCAGGCAAAUCAGGCUCUCCACACCCUUGGGCUUGGAGCACAGAAGGCCACAGUCUGGUCAGGCCUGUCCCCUCCCCUCCCCUCCUCAGCCUUGGGCACCUGUCUGUCGCUCGGCCUCCUGUCCCCUCACCUGGUCACCCGCCCACACCAGAGCAACCCUUCGGCACAGAGUGGCCACAUCACCAUCUACAUGGCUGGAACAUUGUGCUCCCAGAACCAGAUCACAGCCCCAUCCAGGCCACUUCGAGUCCCCAUCCACUAAGGCGCUGGGACCCACAGGCCCCAUGGGGGACCCCCAAGCUCAGUUUCUGUUUUCAGGAGCAGGGUGGGAUGGGAACACAGAAGCACCAGAUUUAGAAUCUCGCUUGGUGAGCAGCUUAACCAAAUAACACUGGCUCUCAACCGGCCCCUUUUCCACAAAUAAAUGACAAGGAAACAGACUCAAAAUCCAGACCUAGUUGGCUUGGAAUUUUUGAGACAAGUUCUCAUUAUGUAGCCCAGGCUGGCCUGGAACUUGCAGUGAUUCUCCUGCCUCAGCCUCCCCA
rnacentral:lncRNA from 1 species